AACGCGAAGAACCUUACCUGGGUUUGACAUGCGCAGGACGCCAGUAGAGAUAUUGGUUCCCUUGUGGCCUGUGUGCAGGUGGUGCAUGGCUGUCGUCAGCUCGUGUCGUGAGAUGUUGGGUUAAGUCCCGCAACGAGCGCAACCCUUGUCUCAUGUUGCCAGCGCGUUAUGGCGGGGACUCGUGAGAGACUGCCGGGGUCAACUCGGAGGAAGGUGGGGAUGACGUCAAGUCAUCAUGCCCCUUAUGCCCAGGGCUGCACACAUGCUACAAUGGCUGGUACAACGGGCUGCUAAUCCGCGAGGAGGAGCCAAUCCCCAAAGCCAGUCUCAGUUCGGAUUGGAGUCUGCAACUCGACUCCAUGAAGUCGGAGUCGCUAGUAAUCCCGGAUCAGCAACGCCGGGGUGAAUACGUUCCCGGGCCUUGUACACACCGGUAUA
rnacentral:rRNA from 1 species